UGAAGUCUGCCUUUCUGGUGUUUGUGAGCACCAGAGUCUCUGGAGAACCGUGGCUUCUGACCCGCUGCCAGGCCUUCAGGCUCAGUUCCGCUGUUUUGUCCCAUUGAGAAACACCAAGGGAAAUGUGACAAGAGGAAGCUGCCUUGGGAGACACAGGAGGGGGAAAAGGAGAGAACCCCAUUUUUUGUGACACCCUCCUUCCUCCUUUGAUGCCACAAUCUGUUGAGAAACGCUCUGUGGCUGGCUGCCGUUCUCUGCCACACCUGAGGUCCCUACACUGUUCCACUCACUGCCUCUGGAUACCAGAACAUUGUCAUAUCCACGACCCCUCACACCGUCCUCCCCAAGCCAAGGAGGCUGAACAUUCGGAUUUGCUCACCUCCCAAAAGCAGGAGACAAGCAGAUGUCAUUAUUAGACAUCAUUCACUUUGUUUUUCUGACACAGCAUCUCUCAUUGGCAUGAGCCUCACCAAGAAGGCUAGGCUGCCUGUCUCUGACUCCCGAGGGCUGGAUGAUUCAGGAAACAAACCUACUGAGAUGAACAGCAUCUGCACCAGCCCUCCAAAGACGUGUCCCAGAGCACCAACCCAA